rnacentral:misc_RNA from 1 species
UCCGUCACUGCAUUGACACUUUCCUCGCCGGCUUCGUUUUCUCUCACUAAAACUCGUUUCUUUUUUAUUUCUUGAACUCAGUGAGUCAGCAAAGAUGAUGCACAUGACCUUUUACUGGAGCCGGGAGGUGACUCUUCUGGUGGACUCCUGGCGCACCAAGACAUGGCUGGCUUACGCCUUGACUCUUCUCGUUUGCCUAGUCGCCUCCGCCUUAUACCAAUUCCUAGAGAACCUCCGCAUCCACAUGCGCUUCAAAGUCAUCGCCAGAACCGACGGUUCAGCGGCAGAAGAGCCUUUGCUUCGAUCCAAGAAGAGUAAAGGGAAAUGGUCGGCGGCGAGGGUAGCCGGAGCAGUGCUUUUCGGAGUGAACUCGGCGAUCGGGUACAUGCUGAUGCUUGCUGUGAUGUCGUUUAACGCAGGGGUGUUUGUGGCGAUCGUAUUGGGGCUGGCUAUUGGGUAUUUGUUGUUUAGGAGUGAAGAUGAGAAUUUGACUCUUUCUGAUAGCCCUUGUGCCUGUGCCUAGACACACAGAGACAAGAAAACUGAACAAAGUAUGUAUUUGUGUAUGUACUUUUCUCUGUUGGGUUAUGGUUGUAUGUUUCUUUUCCCUGUAAAAAUCUCAUCUUUGUCUCGUGCAAUUUGGGAACCGAGCUGAAGAAACAAUUAGGUUCUUUG